CGUAACUUUAAGACCGUGUCUGUGACGGCCUUCUGUAUGUUGAUUAAUUGGUGUUAUUUCACUCCUUCUUGUGCGUGAUUCUGAAUUAAUGGAACUUCUAGAAACUCUACGAUCUUCAAACAGCGGAUGUAGACGCCCUUCUGAAGUAGACUCUCCAGCUUUUUAAUGGAAUUUUGUUCCUGGCAGGAGCUUAAUCAGUAAAAGUAUUAGGACUCAAGCUAAUUAUGUCAGUGCAAAUAUACCACUGUUGUUUUGAUAAAACUCCAGUGUUGACUUUUAUUCCUUGAUGAAAUUUAGGAAUCUCUUUACAAUCGGAAGCACUCUUCUGAACCAGAAUCUCGAUUGAAACAACUCGAAAACUUUGGCAAACUCGGAGAUAAUUAAAAGUAAAUACCAGAAAUCACAAAUUCCUUAAGAGCUCUAUAAGAUCAAAUAAAGGAAGUAAUUGAAAUCCACAUGCCAUCUAAACAUGCAUCCGCUUUAGUUUAAAUGGAUGCGUUUGAUCAUUAAAAAUUUAUUUUUUUGCUUAUAUUGUGGGUAAAAUAUUUUAGUAGAAAAAUUGAACUAUCCAU